CUAGAAGUGCCUAGACCUGUCUAGACAGUGCUGGGUUUUCUGUCACUGCAAAGUUCAUGUAUAGGCUGAUGACCAGUGACUGGUGAUAUGCAAGAGGGGAUUUCAUAUAAAGGAUGCUCUAAGAUAUUGUGAUUCUACACUACUUUUACGAUUCUCUCCCAGAACUCGGAGCUCCUCGUUCGUUAGCUGAAGAGCUCCUUGGAUGUCUGCUCUGACAAGUUUCAUCCAUUUACAUGUGCCACUCAUUUUUCAGGUACAAAACAAAGAAUCGCUUUGCACAAAGCCAGAAGGGCUACGCUGAAAGAAUGAUCAGAAAAGAAUAAUACAUAGCAGGCCCACUGCUAGGCCUCUCACCUGAGAAGUCCAGAAUCGGGAAGACACAGGCUGUAUCAGUUGCACUGCGGCCUUAUUCACAAUAGCCAAGAUGGUGAAGCAACCCAAAUGUCCAUCAACAGGUGAAUGGAUAAAGAAGAAGAGGUCCAUGUACACAAUGGAAUAUUCACCAUGGAGAACAAUGAAUUAGUGCUCUUUGAGGCACCACAGAUGAUCCUAGAGAUAAUCAUGGAACAUGAGCAGGCCCACUGCUGAGCCUCUCACCUGAGAAGUCCAGAGUCGAGAAGGCACAGGCUUCAACAGCUGCACUACAGGAAUUUUCACAAUAACCAAGACAUGGAAGUAACCAAAAUGUCCAUCACCAGAUGAGUGGAAAAAGAAGGAGUGGUCCAUGUACAAAAUGGAAUAUUCGCCGUGGAAAACAAUGAAACACUGCUCUUUGAGGCACCAUAGUUGAUCCUGGAGAUAAUCACAUAACAUGAGGAAUGGAAAAAGGCUGAACAUCAGGAAUUAAUAAAGCCAUGCAAAUCCAGUGUACAAAAACUUUCACCUCACAGCCUUCAGGAUGAUCAUCAGCAAAAAAAAAAAAAAAAGUCUACAAAGAAUAAAUGCUGAAAGGGUUUUAGAGAACUGUGUACCCUUUAGCUGCUGGUGGGAUGUAACCUGGAAACAGCCAGUAGUGAGAACAGAAUAGAGAUGCGUUUAAGGGUAAAAAUGGAGCUACCAUGUGAUCUGGUAGGCCCACUAAUGGGCCUGUCACAUGAGUAGACCAGAAUCAAAAAGACACAGGCUGGCAAUCCUGCACUGCAGCAACAUGUACCAUAGCCAAGACCUGGAAGAAACCAAAAUGUCCAUUAACAGAAAAAUGCACCAAGAAGAAGUCGUCCAUGUACACAAUGGAAUAUUAGCCAUGAAAAAGCAUGGAACAGUGCCGUUGGCACCACCAUAGAAGGAUCUACAGAUAAUCACCCAACUUGAAGUAAGAAAGAAACCGAAAGACAGACAUCCUAUGACAUCACUUACAGGUGUUACCUAAAAAUUGAUACCCAUGAAAUAAUUUCCAAGAGAAGGACACACAUAGAUUCAGAAAACCAAAUUAUGUUUAACCAAAUGGAAAGGUGUAAGGAAUGUAUGAAUUAGGAUAUGGGGGUUAACAGACAUGUACUAAUACAUAUGAAAUAUAUAAUCACACAAUACCUAUGGGAUACGAAGAGAGGUCUACUCAACACUCUAUAAUAUACACGGGAAAGGAUCCAAAGAGGAAUAGACAGAUACAUUGAUAGGAUGAAUCAGAAACUGUACAGCUAGGAGAACUACAUUUUUAUCAAAUUUGCUCUGAUAAUUAAUAAAAAUUAAAUUUAAAAAGCAAACAAUUUAGGAUAUAUAUGCUCUUGGGGCUUUUCGCUGGCACAUUCCACUCUAAUUUGCUGCUUACUAACACAAUUUCCAGGAAAGCUCUGUUGCCCAAAAACCCAGAGUUGGAAAUGUAGAAAAGCUGCCGCCUUGUGGCCGUUUCCCACAAGAGCGGCUUUAAACCCACAGCUAAUGGUCACUUAACAUUCAGAAGGACUCAGGGCUGUAAAGGACACCUGCCCUAAACAACUGUGCGGAGGUAGGGAAUGGCCAAAAAAAUUCAAAACUGCAAAUUUUUCAAGAAAAUAAUAUGAAGAGGUUAAUUUGGCUCACUUUUAAAAAAAGGAAAAUGGAUAAAAGCUCAACCUCAGUAAUUAUUAGACUCAUGCAAAUCUAAUCUACAAAAAGGUUUCAACUCACACCAGCCAACUGG